AAGUCGUAACAAGGUCUCCGUAGGUGAACCUGCGGAGGGAUCAUUACAGAGUUCAUGCCCUUACGGGUAGAUCUCCCACCCUAUGUUAUCAUUACUUUGUUGCUUUGGCGGGCCGUCAGGCUCACGCCCGGCUACCGGCUUCGGCUGGUAAGCGCCCGCCAGAGGACCCAAAACCCUGAAUAUUAGUGUCGUCUGAGUACUAUAUAAUAGUUAAAACUUUCAACAACGGAUCUCUUGGUUCUGGCAUCGAUGAAGAACGCAGCGAAAUGCGAUAAGUAAUGUGAAUUGCAGAAUUCAGUGAAUCAUCGAAUCUUUGAACGCACAUUGCGCCCCUUGGUAUUCCGGGGGGCAUGCCUGUUCGAGCGUCAUUACAACCCUCAAGCCUAGCUUGGUAUUGGGCCUCGCCACUAACCUGGCGGGCCUCAAAAUUAGUGGCGGUGCCGUCGUGGCCCUGAGCGUAGUAAAUAUCCUCGCUAUAGGGACCCGGCGGUUACUGGCCAGCAACCCCCAAUUUUUCUAAGUUUGACCUCGGAUCAGGUAGGGAUACCCGCUGAACUUAAGCAUAUCAAUAAGCGGAGGAAAAGAAACCAACAGGGAUUGCCUCAGUAACGGCGAGUGAAGCGGCAACAGCUCAAAUUUGAAAUCUGGCUCUUUCAGGGUCCGAGUUGUAAUUUGUAGAAGAUGCUUUGGGUGUGGCUCCGGUCUAAGUUCCUUGGAACAGGACGUCAUAGAGGGUGAGAAUCCCGUAUGUGACUGGUUGCCUUCGCCCGUGUAAAGCUCUUUCGACGAGUCGAGUUGUUUGGGAAUGCAGCUCAAAAUGGGUGGUAAAUUUCAUCUAAAGCUAAAUAUUGGCCAGAGACCGAUAGCGCACAAGUAGAGUGAUCGAAAGAUGAAAAGCACUUUGGAAAGAGAGUUAAACAGUACGUGAAAUUGUUGAAAGGGAAGCGCUUGCAACCAGACUUGCACGCAGUUAAUCAUCUGGUGUUCUCACUGGUGCACUUUUCUGCGUUCAGGCCAGCAUCGGUUUAGGUGGUGGGAUAAAGGCCUUGGGAAUGUAGCUUCUUUCGGGGAGUGUUAUAGCCCUCGGCGCAAUGCCGCCUACCUGGACCGAGGACCGCGCUUCGGCUAGGAUGCUGGCGUAAUGGUUGUAAGCGACC
rnacentral:rRNA from 1 species